rnacentral:miRNA from 14 species
AAGAGAUUCCUGAGACCUGAUUC